rnacentral:misc_RNA from 1 species
UUUUAUUUUAUUUUUAACUGAAAAAAUCAAAGAUAAAUAAGCAUGAAAGUAACCAAGGUCAGAUAACCAACCCAAACCAAACAAGGCAUAACUAGAUAUUUGGAGAAAGGACUCACUUUGCCAAAGGUGCAAUAGCAUGCAAGGAGAGUCCCUAAAUUAACCAAACAGAAGAUAACUCCUAGGCAUGGCUCCUCAAACCUCAGCACAAGAGGGUCCCAAACUAUGCUCAAAGAGAUUUGAGAAAUAUACAGAGGCAACACAUCCGACUCCAGAAGGAACCCACCAUCCACCCACACCAGCCAGGCCGGUAGACCCAUGAGGAGAGUUGAACCCACUGAGGCUAUGUGGAUUAGGGUCAGAGAAGGGAACCACAAUGGUUUGGCUGUGGCUUGGUACUUCCUGCUUGAACCGAACAAAUAAAUUAUGGUCAGGGUUAGGCAGAGAGGAAGCAAUACGAUUAUAAACAGUGAACAAAACGACAGAAACUUGGGUUUGAUCUUGGGUUUUGUAGUUUUGGGUUUGGUGGGGGGUAUUUGACAGCAUUUGGUGUGGUUUUGAAGGGUUUUGGCAGCCAUUGGUAAUGGUAGUGUUGAGG